rnacentral:rRNA from 1 species
GACGAACGCUGGCGGCGUGCCUAAUACAUGCAAGUCGAACGCAGUGGGGACGGGUGAGUAACACGUGGGUAACCUCCCAUCAGAGGGGAUAACACUUGGAAACAGGUGCUAAACCGAUACUGAUGGAUGGACCCGCGGUGCAUUAGCUAGUUGGUGAGGUAACGGCUCACAAAGGCCACGAUGCAUAGCCGACCUGAGAGGGUGAUCGGCCACACUGGGACGGAGACAUGGCCAAGACUCCUACGGGAGGCAGAAGUGGGGAAUCUGGGGAAAGGGACGAAAGUCUGACCGAGCAAAGCCGAGUGAGUGAAGAAGGUUUUCGGAUCGUAAAACUCUGUGGGUAGAGAAGCGGUAUCUAACCAAAAAGCAACGGAUAACUACGUGCCAGCAGCCGCGGUAAUUC